AUUGAACGCUGGCGGCAGUCCUAACACAUGCAAGUCGAACGAGUGGCGGACGGGUGAGUAAUGUCUGGGAAACUGCCUGAUGGCGGGGGAUAACUACUGGAAACCGUAGCUAAUACCGCAUACCAUCGGAUGUUCCCAGAUGGGAUUAGCUAGUAGGUGGGGUAACGGCUCACCUAGGCGACGAUCCCUAGCUGGUCUGAGAGGAGGACCAGCCACACUGGAACUGAGACACGGUACAGAAGCCUACGGGAGGCAGCAGUGGGGAAUAUUGAACAAGGGGCGCAAGCCUGAUGCAGCCAUGCCGAGUGUAUGAAGAAGGCCUUCGGGGUGUAAAGUACUUUCAGAGAGGAGGCGUUACCAGCAGAAGAAGCACCGGCUAACUCCGUGCCAGCCGCCGCGGUAAUAC
rnacentral:rRNA from 1 species